UACGUAGGGUGCGAGCGUGUCCGGAAUUAUUGGGCGUAAAGGGCUCGUAGGCGGUUUGUCGCGUCGGGAGUGAAAACAUCGGGCUUAACUCGAUGCUUGCUUCGAUACGGGCAGACUUGAGGUAUGCAGGGGCAACUGGAAUUCUCGGUGUAGCGGUGAAAUGCGUAGAUAUCGAGAGGAACACCUGCGGCGAAGGCGGGUUGCUGGGCUGACACUGACGCUGAUGCGCGAAGGCCAGGGAGCAAACGGG
rnacentral:rRNA from 1 species